UGGGAUGAUAAUUGGCUACCUCGGGAUCACAUGCUGAGAGCUCUCCAUCCACAAUCGGCUGAACCUCCUAUGGUGGUCGCCGAUCUGAUUAGAGCAGACAACAGAUCAUGGGACCAUGAUCUCCUGAAGGAACACCUACAACAACCGGAUAUUGAUAUUAUUCUGAACAUUCCACUAAGCAUGCGCAAUACAGAGGAUCAGCGGGCAUGGCAUUACGCGAGGAAUGGUGAAUGCUCAGUUCGGUCAGUUUACAGAAUGUUAGUCGAAACAAAGAGAAGAAGAGAGGAUUGGCUGGAUCAUAGAUCG
rnacentral:rRNA from 1 species